UUAGAGUUCUGGGCCGCACGCGCGCUACACUGACAGAGCCAACGAGUUCUUCACCUUGGCCGAAAGGUCUGGGUAAUCUUGUUAAACUCUGUCGUGCUGGGGAUAGAGCAUUGCAAUUAUUGCUCUUCAACGAGGAAUGCCUAGUAAGCGCGUGUCAUCAGCAUGCGUUGAUUACGUCCCUGACCUUUGUACACACCGCCCGUCGCUACUACCGAUUGAAUGGCUCAGUGAGGCGUUCGGACUGGCUCGGGGAGGUUGGCAACGACCACCCCAAGCCGGAAAGUUCGUCAAACUCGGUCAUUUAGAGGAAGUAAAAGUCGUAACAAGGUCUCCGUAGGUGAACCUGCGGAGGGAUCAUUACACAAAUGAAAAUAUGAAGGCCCUUCAAACCGGCUGGAUUAUUUUUCUUCACCCUUGUCUUUUGCGCACUUGUUGUUUCCUGGGCGGGUUCGCUCGCCACCAGGACCACACCAUAAACCUUUUUGUUAAUGCAAUCAGCGUCAGUAAAAAGUAAUAAUUAUUUUACAACUUUCAACAACGGAUCUCUUGGUUCUGGCAUCGAUGAAGAACGCAGCGAAAUGCGAUACGUAGUGUGAAUUGCAGAAUUCAGUGAAUCAUCGAACUUUGAACCCACAUUGCGCCCUUUGGUAUUCCAAAAGGCAUGCCUGGUUCAACGGCCUUUU
rnacentral:rRNA from 1 species